UAAAGGCAAUACGCAAUAUUGUUAACGAG
rnacentral:sRNA from 1 species